rnacentral:tRNA from 1 species
GAGGGUAUAGCUCAGUGGUAGAACACAUGCUUAGCAUGCACAGAGUCCUGGGUUCAAUCCCCAGGACCUCCU